rnacentral:misc_RNA from 1 species
GAUGAAGAACGUAGCGAAAUGCGAUAAGUAAUGUGAAUUGCAGAAUUCAGUGAAUCAUCGAAUCUUUGAACGCACAUUGCGCCCGCCAGUAUUCUGGCGGGCAUGCCUGUUCGAGCGUCAUUUCAACCAUCAAGCCCUGCUUGCGUUGGGGUCCUGCGGCUGCCCGCAGGCCCUGAAAACCAGUGGCGGGCUCGCUAGUCACACCGAGCGCAGUAAUACAUCUCGCUUUGGGCGUGCGGCGGGUUCUUGCCGUUAAACACCCCCUUUUUACCAAGGUUGACCGCGGAUCAGGUAGGAAUACCCGCUGAACUUAAGCAUAUCAAUAAGCGGAGGA